CAGGGAGCCUCUUCCAGUCCAGAAGUCUUCUCUUCAUCCCUUUCUCUGCGGCAAGACCAACUGUCAGAGCCUCCACAGCCUGAGGGCCUGGGUGGCGUGACCCCUGCAGAAUAGGGGGAGCAGAGGGAAAGCUAGGCAUUGACGUCCCUGGUUUUACUUCUGCUUCUUGAGUAGUUGUGUGACCCUGGGCAAAUUGUCAACCUCUCUGAGUCUCUACUCUCUCAUCUGUAAAAUCGAGACAGUUAUCUCCCCUCGGGUCUUGGUGAGACUUAUUCUGAGUAGCUGGGACUACAGGUCUGUGCCACCAUGCCCAUCUAAUGUUUUCUGUAUUUUUGUAGGGGUGGAGUUUUGCUAUAUUGCCCAGGCUGAUCUUGAAUUUCCAGGCUUAAGUGAUCCUCCCACUUCGGCCUCCCCGAGUGCUGGGAUUACGGGCGUGAGCCACUGCACCCAGCUGGUGAGACUUAUUCUGAGAUACAGCAUGGCGAAGAGCCCAGCACAGUGCCUGGCAUGUGACAUGCCCUCAGUUCCUGUUCAUUUUUUUCCUAGUGCCUGGAACAAUUGAAAAGCAUGUGCCACUUGAGAUUCUGCAGAGAAAGAUAGGUAAUCAAGGUUGAAGAACUGAGGCAGGUAAGUGUAGGAUGGUGGAAGGAGUCCUGGCCUGGUGUGGGUCCAGUUUCUGUCUCCCUCUGCUGGUGAUCUCAGGCAAAUUCUUAGCCUCUCUGGGCUUGCGUCCUCACCUGUGAAAUGAAGAUUGUGAAUGGGUCAUUUCCAAAGCUGCUUCUAGUUGCAAGGUGCCCCCCAGCCCAGAGGAGCUAGCCCCUCUGUUGCUUUUCCCCACUCACAUGCAGCCUUCUCUCUGGUUGGACAAGCCGAGUGCAUUGCUUCACAGCCUCUUGCAGCCCUGCCAGGACCUAAGUCACCCAGGAAAGGCCUCACCCUUGAUCCUGGAGUGACCUCAACCACAUUCACUGUGUCUCAUCCUGUGUGGGGUUUGCAGGCUGCCCUCUUCGGCUUCCUCUGCCUCUCCUCCCAGCAUGCCCUCUUCUUCCUUUCCACAUUCUUCUCUCUUUCCCACACCCAGCAUCCUCCCAGCCACAUCGAUCAUGGCACCUGUCCCCUGUGUGAGGUCCUACCACCCGGAGACAGUGAAGCCCUCUCCUAGUGCCCCCUGCAUAAUAUUUGAGAAGAUGAGACCACAGACAGCAGUAGCAACUGCUAGCACCACCUCUGCAGGCUCUACAGGCCCAGUUACUGGAGGUCCAAGUUGAAAGUUGGGCUAGGAC
rnacentral:lncRNA from 10 species